CGCUAUGCCAUCAAUUUGUUGGCCCAAUUCUCCCAGAAUAAUUAAAAGAUUGUUAAAAGCCAGAAGGGAAUUUUGCUUUCCAGUGAGGCAACACUAGACAUUGGUUCCAUUGGCUCCCAUUAAUUUUGUUCUUUUCAUAUUAUGGCCAUUGCAUGGCCUUUCCGGUCCAAGCUCACGUCUCUAUGCCAGAGGGUUUCAGACCCAUCUGGGUACCUAUCUUUUCAAUUAUUCCACUGGUUUCCCCAAAUGGGUUACCUUUGCUUGUUUUGCAUAAAGGGUUUGUACAAGUUGUGUAAUUUUCCCCCUAAUUUGUGGGUAUUGAGAAGAAGAAUGUUUCUAUUAAUUUGCUCUUCGCUUUUGCUUAUAUACUCUAUACCCUGAGGAGUGGAUUAGCAGAAGAAAGAGUAUAAGUAGACCUACUGUAUUGAGAACUAUUUCUCUGAUUAAUCCAUAUUCAUUUACUGGUUUAGUUGUUUCUGAAUCAUGGGUUUGCCCACAAUUUUUGAGGUGAUAUUUCCAAACUCUUGGUUAUUGGGAACUACCAUUUGAACUAAUUUAUGCCCUCUUGUUUCAAGUACCUAAAAUUUGGAUUUAAUAUUUGUCAACUUCCUCUGAAAUCGGUGUAGGGUUUAGGGUUUAGGGUGCAUUUAUGUUUCUAAUUUGAUUUUUCUUCAUUCUGCUCAAGGCAACCUUCAGUUUUCAAAAAAUUGAAGAAACUCUUUUCUGGUUUUCCCAGUUGUUCAAGCUUCACUUUAUGCAGAAAUGGAUUGCUUCAAGGAUUAAGCAAGUUCCAGAGGUUUAGAAGUCCGGCAGCUUUGAUAGUUCUCAUCACCAUCCUGCAUGUUGUUUUUAUUUUUGGGUUUAGAAGCUGCUAUUUGAGGAAUUCACUUCUUGCAAAAUCUCGUUUAGCAUGUUGUCAGGUGCAGCAUUUAGGAAAAUUCCUUAAAAAUUGGGAGUGUUCUUGAAAGAUCUAAUAAAUGGAGGGCUCUGUUGCACCAUACGACCAGCGCCACAGGUGUACACACAUAAAGGUUUUAGGACAAAAGGGUCAGUGGAAGAGGGAGGCAGAAAUAGGCAAGCAAUGAUGGAAGGGAUCUCCAUGAGGGAUAUUUCUGUUCCACAAACAAGGAGAGCGACUACACCCAAAACAUGUUGAUAGCACAUCAACUAGAGAGUUGAAUCUCAAACAGGCACGCGUGAGUGUUGCUUUGGAAGGCUGCAAGGAGCUACUUUGUUUGGACAGAAAUGAGCAAAUGGAUGCUAAGCUGUUCAUAUACCAUUUCACUGAAGGAAGAUCUGAUUCGCGCCUACAAGCCAUGAAAUGAUAGCGAGAAGAAUGCUUGCAUAUGAUGAAUGGAUUGAAAGUGCAAAGAGGUUUUGGCUGUCACCAAUACACAACCCUUGUCCAACACUUCAUAUGGAAUGGCAUGUAUGCCACUUUGAAGGCUAAAACUAGUGUGAUGGCCUAACUGAAAGCUAGAAGAAGAUUUCAAUGAUCAAUAUCCCAUUGGAGAG